GAAGCGACGGUAAGACGUCGUGGAGGCCGAACCCACCAAAGUUGAAAAUUUGGGGGAUGAGCUGUGGUAGGGGUGAAAGGCCAAUCAAACUCCGUGAUAGCUGGUUCUCCCCGAAAUGCAUUUAGGUGCAGCGUCAUGUGUUUCUUGCCGGAGGUAGAGCUACUGGAUGGGCUAGGGGGCCUACAAGCUUACUGAACUCAGCCAAACUCCGAAUGCCGGCAAGUGAGAACAUGGCAGUGAGACUGCGGGGGAUAAGCUUCGUAGUCGAGAGGGAAACAGCCCAGACCACCAACUAAGGCCCCUAAGCGUGUGCUAAGUGGGAAAGGAUGUGGAGUCGCACAGACAACCAGGAGGUUGGCUUAGAAGCAGCCACCCUUGAAAGAGUGCGUAAUAGCUCACUGGUCAAGUGAUUCCGCGCCGACAAUUUAGCGGGGCUCAAGCACACCGCCGAAGUUGUGGCAUUCACACACCUGCUAGGCCUUCGUGGUCCAAGCGUGUGGAUGGGUAGGGGAGCG
rnacentral:rRNA from 1 species